CUUUUUCCUGGGAGUUUGGGUGUAAAAAAUGUUGCUAACCCUUAUAUCAGCAUUGAGAAAGCUAUUUUUCUUCUAAUUUAGCAUGUAUACAGAUUUGCUUGUUUGUUCAUUGUUCUUUCAAGUGAGUGAACUUAAAUGUAAAAGAUCACAGCAAUAUACGUGUAAUUGAUUUAAUGUCUUCAAAGAGGCUAUAGUGGCAUGUGCUCCCAUCUUGAAGCUUUAUGUUGAGGGUUGAAUGCUGCUGUUAUCACUACCAAAAAGAAUUUCCCUAAAGAGAAAUGAAGAUGAUUCUAGGGGAUCUUUAUUUUAGAAAAUUGUG
rnacentral:lncRNA from 1 species